rnacentral:rRNA from 1 species
UGGGGAAUCUUCCGCAAUGGACGAAAGUCUGACGGAGCAACGCCGCGUGUAUGAUGAAGGUCUUCGGAUUGUAAAGUACUGUCAUUGGGGAAGAACGGUUUUCUUGAAAAUAUUGAGAAGACAUGACGGUACCCAAGGAGGAAGCCCCGGCUAACUACGUGCCAGCAGCCGCGGUAAUACGUAGGGGGCAAGCGUUGUCCGGAAUUAUUGGGCGUAAAGGGCGCGUAGGCGUGCCUUUAAGUCCGGUGUGAAAGAUCAGGGCUCAACCCUGAGAGUGCAUCGGAAACUGGAGGCCUUGAGGACAGGAGAGGAAAGUGGAAUUCCACGUGUAGCGGUGAAAUGCGUAGAUAUGUGGAGGAACACCAGUGGCGAAGGCGACUUUCUGGAUUGUAACUGACGCUGAGGCGCGAAAGCGUGGGGAGCAAACA